rnacentral:lncRNA from 1 species
CCGAGCUGGACAUCAUGCACGGUGAAAAAUCGUAAUGUUGCUGCAUCCGCAUCUAUCCGUUUUACUCUGCCGCUUUUCACCACCGAGAGCAGAGCUCGAGCGAGCCAGCAGCACGUCGCCGGCCGUUCUUCGCGCCGCCGUUUCCUCCUCGCGAACCAGCCACCAACUACCUCUCUGACUCCACCGCGACGCCCUGCAACCGCCCGUCGUCCAGUUCGUCGCUGCCAGCCCGGGCAUCGCCGUAGUACCGGUCCGCCCGUUGCCACCACCAUCCUCCGGUGAGCUCUCUGUGCCGCCCGUUUCUCUUCGAUGUUUGGGUCCUAGUCGCGUUUCUGGGUUGGUUGGGAGCCGUAGGAGGAGGCCGAAGGCCGUGUUGUGCCGUCGUCGUGCGAGGCCACGGCCGGCAGCCGGCCAAGCCGCCCGCUGCCGUGGAGAAGCCAUAUCCGGCCGUCUCCCGGGGGGCCGCCGCCGCCCACGGGUGUGCCGCGGCCUGGGGAUGCCUCCCCGGCCCGGCCCCGUCGCCGGCAAGCCGCCAGCCGGCGAGCCCCCUCCGGCCUGUUGCGCCUCUGUUCUUAGCCAGGGGAGGAAGAAGCCCCUGACCAAGGGGGGCCCGCUCGUCAGCUGGAAGAGGGGGAAAGGAGGAGAAGCUUGGUAGGCCGGCUUUUGGGCCCAGUGCGAAUGAGAAAAGUUUUGGGCCGGGGUUAUUUAAAUAAACCUUAGGUUUUCGUUUUAUAGAUAAAGAGUUUAAAAUUCGGUUUACACCAUUUAAUUCACAGGAAAUUCUAGAAGUGCCCAAAAUUAGUGAAACCAAUUUUUUUAAGAUUAUUUUAUUUUCCUUUAUGCAUUAAAAUUAUUAUACCUUAGGAAAAAUAAUAAAAACUUAGGUAUUUGUUUAAUGCAUUUUCAUUAAGGUAUUUAAAUAAAUACUUAACCUUUAUUAAAUGCAUAAAAUAUGGAAUAAUAUUUUCAUGUUCAAAAAUUAUUAUUAACUCAUAGGAAAUUAGGUUUUGAGACUAGAAAAUAAUUAUAAUAUUUUCUAUAAAUAAAAUAAAAAGCCUAAGGUAGGAUUAGUAAAGAAAAUAAAAAUAGUGGGUUUAAUCUUUUCGGGUAUUUGCGUGUUGGCUUGCAACUUUAUCAUGAUAAAUUGUGUAGUCACUUGUUGGCUUGCAACUUUAUCAUGAAGGAAAGUUGUAUAGUCUUGUAUUCAAAAGUUUGCAUCUCUAACUCCUGCAUAUACUGAAUCGUAGACGUCGAAGCUCUUGAAGUGAGAUUCGUGGAAUUCAGCUGAGGAUGGGCAGCGUCCGCGAAAUGUUGAAGUGCCUCUUUUACUAAAGGGGUUUUCCGAAGAACUAACAUUUGUUGAUCCCAGGCAAGCCCCGGUGCAUUUAUACCUAUCUAUUUUGGAGUUAUUAUUUCAUGUGUCCAAUUAUUGGUUAAUUUCUAUAUGAUUGCAUUAAGUCUAGGAGUUGAAUGAAACCCAUUCUUGUGCAUGACCUUACCUUGUUUUAAGGACAUCUUUGCCACUUGUUCAAACAAUUAGUAAGUAACCCAAGUUUAGAAAUGCUUAGAUGCUUAGAGUAACUUGGUUACCGAACCUUAAGGUGAAAUGUUGGGUCAUACAUGUUAAUUCUGGAAAGGUAGCUCGGAAGUUUGAGAAGCGGACAGAAGCUAAGGAUGUAGUUCUGUCUGCUAGAUUAAUUUGGUUAAUGCCCGAUUCGUUGUCUUAACCUUUGAUCAAGUGAUAAGCAUCUGAUCACUUACUGGGUAUGGGACCAGUAAAGCCCAGUAGGUUAGUAAACUCUCUGAUCGGGAAUACUUCGUACCCGCGCUUGACGUGCUGGAGAUUGGCAGGGGCGUAGCCUGAAACUCACAUGGAGAUCAGGCCAGACGUGGGGUCCCAUGUGGGGGUGCGUCCCUGGGUCCGGGUAGUCUUAUUCCCAAUCAUUGAUUUUGCUAAUCGAAAAGUCGUUACGUACUACCUGGACAGUCGUAUAUAGCUGGUGAUCAGGGUACUCUCCUGCAGGAUGUAUUAUGAUCCGGAUCGCCACAAUUCUCGGUUAUGAAUGCACUUGAUCACUGUUGAGCAUCGUAGUAUAAUCUCUUGAAUGCAAGGUCUUUCCGAAAUUAAUUUGUUGUAUGACUUAAUUUCCUACUGCUUGCAAAGGCAUAUUUUUGUCAUCAUUUAAAUUGGUUAGGUAAUAACUUAAUUGAGUUAAAAGAUAAAGCUAAGGCCUCACUUUUUAGUAAGCUCUUUUGGCAAAAGGUGAGUCAGCCAGUACACUAAACAGCUAUCAUGUAGUUCCAGAAAGACUAUUAUAUUGGUUAGUCGGGUAAGCCUUGCUGAGUACCCCGUACUCACGGUUAUCCCUUGUGGCUGUUUCAGAAGCACCGCAGGAGCCCACAGAGGAGGAAGCCCCAGAAAACUAGGGUAUUGUUAUGAGUCUCGCAAUACCCUCAGAAGGAAAAACUCUUAUGUGCAUCUCCCACCUGGACCAGUUUAUGUUUAAAACUCCUAGAAUCCCUCUAACCUGCAUUGUUAAGUUUACUUCAAACUACGUUCUGUAAUAAUUCGUACCUCUUGUAUGUAUGUACAAAUAUAAUGUUUGUUGAUGCUAUCCCAUUGCGGAU